rnacentral:rRNA from 1 species
AAUAUUGGACAAUGGGCGAAAGCCUGAUCCAGCCAUGCCGCGUGUGUGAAGAAGGUCUUCGGAUUGUAAAGCACUUUAAGUUGGGAGGAAGGGCAGUAAGUUAAUACCUUGUUGUUUUGACGUUACCGACAGAAUAAUCACCGGCUAACUUCGUGCCAGCAGCCGGGGUAAUAAGAAGGGUGCAAGCGUUAAUCUGAAUUACUUGGCGUAAAGGGGGGGUAGGUGUUUCGUUAAGUUGGAAGUGAAAGCCCCGGGCUUAACCUGGGAAUUGCUUUCAAAACUGACGAGCUAGAGUACGGUAGAGGGUAGUGGAAUUUCCUGUGUAGCGGUGAAAUGCGUAGAUAUAGGAAGGAACAUCAGUGGCGAAGGCGACUACCUGGACUGAUACUGACACUGAGGUGCGAAAGCGUGGGGAGCAAACAGG